rnacentral:rRNA from 1 species
AAUCAACGCUGGCGGCGUGCCUCAGACAUGCAAGUCGAACGAUUAAAGCUCCCUUCGGGGAGUGCAUAAAGUGGCGCACGGGUGAGUAACACGUAAGUAAUCUACCCUCGGGUGGGGAAUAACAUCGGGAAACCGAUGCUAAUACCGCAUAAUGCAGCGGCACCGCAAGGUGACAGUUGUUAAAGAUUUAUUGCCUGGGGAGGAGCUUGCGGCAGAUUAGCUUGUUGGUAAGGAACGGCUUACCAAGGCUACGAUCUGUAUCCGGUCUAAGAGGACGGUCGGACACACUGACACUGAAUAACGGGUCAGACUCCUACGGGAGGCAGCAGUCGGGAAUUUUGGGCAAUGGGGGAAACCCUGACCCAGCAACGCCGCGUGAAGGAUGAAGUAUUUCGGUAUGUAAACUUCGAAAGAAUA